AGAGAGAAUUCUGAGCGAUGAGCAAAUUUAGAAAAUUUGUCAAGCGAUUUCGAUCGUGUUUCUCUUGCUUCGGCAAGAGGAAACGAGAUCGAACAGAUUCCAACAUCUUUGAAUCUGUCGUGGAGGAGCCCACGGAAGAGCCCAAGCCACCGUUCUGCCUGGUAAGCAGUAAAGGAGAUGGUAUCAUAGAUUCCUUAUGUUAUUAGCUUCUUCCUAAAUGUUGUGUUCACUUUAACAGAAUUUACCAUUUAAUAUGACUGUUUGCAAACAGCUAACUAUAGC